GAGAGGUCCGAAACGGAGGCAAUCGCGACCGUCGCCGUUUCUCCUUUGCCUUGCGAGACAAGCUCCUUUCCUCCUCCUCUUCCCCUCUCUUCUCUCAUGGUCUCCUCUCCACCCGCCGGCUCGCUCUGGUCCCGCCGAUGAGGCAAGCUCGUCCUUCCCUCCGAGUCGCCGCCGCCGGCCGUCGGAUGACCUUGUCGGAAUUGUGGGAUAUGUCGGGUUCCACACCGGGGGCUUUUCGGAUGCCGCGAUUCGAGGAGCUCGACAUCACCAACGUGGUCCUCCGGCAGCGCAUCGUUUUCUUGGGAUCCCAGGUGGAUACUGUGACUGCUGAUUGAUUAUCAGGCAGCUCUUGUUUAUGGAUGCGGAAGACCAAAAGAAGGAGAUUAAAUUGUUCAUAAAUUCACCUGGUGGCUCUGUGACAGCUGGAAUGGGAAUAUAUGAUGCUAUGAAACUGUGCAAGGCUGAUGUUUCCACUGUUUGCUUGGGUCUUCUGGCAUCUAUGGGUGCAUUUCUGCUUGCUGCUGGAACAAAAGGAAAAAAGAUUUUGCAUGCCAAAUGCUAGAGUCAUGAUCCAUCAACCACUUGGAACAGCUGGAGGCAAAGCGACGGAGAUGGGAUUGCAGGUAAAAGAGAUGACAUACCAUAAGAUAAAGAUGAACAAGAUAUUGUCAAGAAUUACAGGAAAAACUUGAACAACAGAUUGAAGUUGAUACUGACCGUGACAACAUGAAUCCCUGGGAAGCUAAGGAGUAAGGACUGGUCGAUGCUGUUAUAGAUGAUGGAAAAACAGGUCAAGUUGCGCCAAUUGCAGUCUGCACCUCCUCUGAAAACCCACGCAUGGGACUUGUGGAAAGUCGAAGGUAGCAGAAAAGCCAGGCAGAAUCUACCUUCGGAGCAGAAACUCUCACAAGAUGGAUAUAAAAUUGAUAGUCGAAAUUACGAGAAAGGCGAAGAACAGCCAAAGGAGGAUACGACGACCAUAUGAAACAAGCUAAGAUAUCUCUGAUGACUCAUUGGUGUUCCAAGGAAGGAUAAAUAUUACCCAAGUUAUCCACCCGGGGGGUAUCUAAUUGAAGGUGACAUCGACACAAAAGGGCUACAAGGUGGAUGCCAAGCUGCUGGUUACUACAUUGCUGUGGCAUUACCCUGUUGCUUUUGUAAAGGUCAGUUUUUUUAGACCUUACCUAGAACGAAAACAAGAAGACUGGUUUUGGUUGUGAGGGAUUGAUUUUUGCUGAUAGUUCCAUUCUUUCUCAAUGAAUUGGGCUAUGUUCUAAUCUUUUGCCAGAGGUUAUGAUUUACCCAUUAAUCUUGUAUGAUAAAGGAACAGAAAAAACCUCUGUUAGCUUUGUCUAAAUUGCUGCAGCUUAACUCCAUCUUUGACAAGUCAACAAAUAAUUACUAUUCAAGGAUUAGAGUUGAAAACACAGGAAAAAAAAUGGAAACCUUAUAAUAUAAAUAAUGAGUAAAACCUAUAUGUAAAUUAUGAACGGAAUAAUUUAUUUUUAUUAAUGCAAAUCUGUUGUUAAGUUUUCUGAAAAUUCUAUAAAUGAUAGAAAAAGAACCCUUUCAAAUUAUGCAUAUUAUGCAUUAUAAUUUUUCAAGUCUCCUUCUAUCUUGUAAUUAUUUUAUUUAACAAUAUAAAAUAAAAUGCUCAGUUACCUGAAUGCGUUUUAAAUUCGAUUUUUGUAUUAUUCAUCUCAAAUUUGAUCAGCGGAUAUCCAACCCUGCUUAACGGGUCGGAUCCUUAUAUGAAAAUCCGAGUCUCCUUCCACCGUGGUGGGACCCGGUUUAUUUCCAACAAUCACCGCGCAGCUAUGUUUGGCGGGUACGUUGUUUACGGGUAUGAGUAGAAAAGAAAAAGUCGCCCUAAAUCUCUAAUCCACGUUUCUUCCUCGCCGUCGACUGCCUCGGGAGAGAGAAGGGGAAUGGUCAUGGUCACGGCAUCGCCGGCAGCGGCGUCGCGCCCUCCUCUCGCUAUUCCGCACUCUGGUUCCACUUUCCCUCUUGGACCCCGUUGGCUCCGGGCUCUGCUCGACGUCCCGGCGGCGAAUGGGGCUCGGCCGCAAGGCCGCUGGCGACGCGACACCGCUGUUCGGUGCGAAGGCGGUGCCGCUGCUGCUGGGCAGCGGGUCCUCAGAACGUGCAAGAACUGCAAGCGGCAGUAUGACCCCGCCCUCAACCAUCCCUUGGCCUGCCGCUUCCACACCGCCCACUUCGGCGGAGAAACCAAGAGAAAGUUUGAGAGUGUGUACACAGGAGGGACCAUGGACACUCCUGACUCUGGCAAAGUGUUCCAGUACUGGCAUUGCUGUGGCUCUGAAGAUCCAUUUGAUGCUGGUUGCACAGCUGCUCCUCACUGCUCUUAUGAUGACUGAUAUCACAUGGUUGGCCUUCGGUACUUAUCAGUAAUGGACAAAGUCCUUCCUUUUUCCAACCGACGAUCGGCUUUGAUUCUGUAGCCCAAAGCAAAACGAUGAACAUCAUGUAUAGAAGCAGCUGAAGCAUCGACAAUGGAUCUUUCUUUUCUCAUACCUUGUGCUGUAUAAUUUUACAGGCAACAAUCCUGUUGUUGAUACAUAUCGGCUUCUAAUUUUAUUAUGCAGUUGAAUUAUAUUCA